rfam:Ovis aries breed Texel chromosome 2, whole genome shotgun sequence.
CCUGGUGGCUCAGAUGGUAAAGCAUCUGCCUGCAAUGCAGGAGACCUGGGUUCGAUCCCUGGGUCAGGA